rnacentral:rRNA from 1 species
GUUUCCGGAAGGUGAACCUGCGGAGGGUUCAUGU